UACGUAGGGGGCGAGCGUUUGUCCGGAAUUAUUGGGCGUAAAGAGCGUGUAGGCGGUUCGGUAAGUCUGCCGUGAAAACCUGGGGCUCAACCCCGGGCGUGCGGUGGAUACUGCCGGGCUAGAGGGUGGUAGAGGCGAGUGGAAUUCCUGGUGUAGCGGUGAAAUGCGCAGAUAUCAGGAGGAACACCGGUGGCGAAGGCGGUUCUCUGGGCAUGUCCUGACGCUGAGGAGCGAAAGUGUGGGGAGCGAACAGG
rnacentral:rRNA from 1 species